UUUGAUAAUCUAAUUUGUUUUUUGGCUUGGCCGACCUCUAAAAAUAUCCCUCUCAUUGAAUUAAGUUUGGGUCCAAUCCACAUGCCUUGUCACAUCCAUUGCAUUAUUUGUUUAAUUCCGUAUUUCUGUAAUCGGAAGGGGCAAUUGAUUGAUGCAUACAGAUAUUGGUGAACUUCAUAACCAAUUCAUGCUAAAAGAUAGAAAUAUUAGGUGGCAAAAAUAUAAGUGAUGAUUCAUCAAAGCAUUAUUUUAUAAUAGAGAAGCAGGAACAUGGGGGAUUUAAGUGCUACUUCCUGCAUUAAUUACUGAUUGUUAAUCCAUUAGUUAUUACCCCUUCCGUCCCAAUUUAAGUGUCUAAUUCUGGAUGAACUCAACAGCACUGCUAGGAAACACCAGCUUCGAGGCUAUGAAAUGUUGCGUGCAGUUCAUUUGGAGCCAAUUCCUUUUGACAUUGAGAGAGAUUUAGUUACCCCCACAUUCAAACUCAAAAUGCCACAACUGCUCAACUAUUACAAGGUAUACAAAUUUGGAUUUUUAAAAUUGAAUUUUACCCGUUGUAGUAGUGAAAUCACAAGACUUUACCCAUUAAAAUAUUGUAGUUCGUUAUAGUGGUGACUUUAUUGAUCGACUGUACAAGGAAGCAAAGCAAACAAAGCUGACUGGAAGUGCUGAUCGAUUGACAAGCUUCAGAUGAUUCUUUCGGAAGUUCAAAGCUCCUAUCAAGUGCACAUUACUGAUAAUCUACAUUUAGAAUUGAAACAUCAUGAGAAAGAACCGAUUUAUGUAUUUUCUCGAUGCUUUCCCUUAUUUUAUGUAUAGAUGAACUUCAUCAAGAUUACCAAAUAAUGAAAAUUAGUAUCUACACGUUCAGAGUCUACAAAAUCUGAAUGUGUUAUAUCAUUUGCCAAAGGAUAUAAAGAACAGAGUGAUGUUUUAUGACCA